AUUUACUUGCGAGGUUUUAUACUUAAUGUUCACUUUUGCUGAGUGAGAAGUGCAUUGCAGUAGGAUCACCAUCAACUUGUGCUGUGGCCCAAGGUCCGAUAAUGCAAGGAAAAAGUCCCUGCUCACUGGAUGUAGAAUAAAGUUGGAUCUUCUGGUUAAAGUUGAGGAUGUAGAAUAUGAGAAGAGCACUAUUAUAGUUUAUCUGGUGGUAAGUUUUAUCUAAUCACUGUUUCAUUAUUCAGUUUGUUAUGUCUUAGAGAAGACAGAAGUUGUUGGUUGAAUGCAGUGAGAGUUAUAGUAGAAGUUAGAUGAAGAAGGAGAGGUAUGAACUGUCACAGGUGGAGUGGAAUGGGGCUUAAGAAGGUGAUGUUUCUUAUAAUGAGAACUGGUUUUGUAGGUGGUGAGAAUGCUGAUAUGUUGAAUGUUAUGAAUUGCCUGUGUAUAGAAAUAAUAUUGUUAUUGAAGCUACUAGAUGUGUCAUGGAUUAUGUCUCAUGAAUGGAGAGUUACA